AGUGAGCGCUGGCGGCAGGCCUAACACAUGCAAGUCGAACGGCAGCACAAGAGAGCUUGCUCUCUGGGUGGCGAGUGGCGGACGGGUGAGGAAUGCAUCGGAAUCUGCCCAUUUGUGGGGGAUAACCUCGGGAAACCGGGACUAAUACCGCAUACGACCUACGGGUGAAAGCAGGGGAUCUUCGGACCUUGCGCAGAUGGAUGAGCCGAUGCCGGAUUAGCUAGUUGGAGGGGUAAAGGCCCACCAAGGCGACGAUCCGUAGCUGGUCUGAGAGGAUGAUCAGCCACACUGGGACUGAGACACGGCCCAGACUCCUACGGGAGGCAGCAGUGGGGAAUAUUGGACAAAGGGCGCAAGCCUGAUCCAGCCAUGCCGCGUGUGUGAAGAAGGCCUUCGGGUUGUAAAGCACCUUUGUUGGGAAAGAAAAGCAGCCGGUUAAUACCCGGUUGUCAUGACGGUACCCAAAGAAUAAGCACCGGCUAACUUCGUG
rnacentral:rRNA from 1 species